GCAAUCUCGGGCUUGGUUAGUACUUGGAUGGGUGACCGCUUGGGAAUACCAAGUGUGAUAAGCA
rfam:Ciona savignyi cont_34647, whole genome shotgun sequence.